UCCACGUAUUGGGUUUUUUUCCUCCUCAUUCGUUCUCAAGAUUCUUCCUUCAAUUUCCUGCUAUAUUUAUGAGCUGUCAUUAAAUCAACUGAUGGCAAGAAAGAUUUGAUAUAGUACCCAGCAAAAAGUCCUGUUAAUAUGUGCUGCGUGACCUUUACUCCAGAAUAUGAUUCGUCUUUUAGGAAACAAAAGACGGUGAUAUCAAGAUGUCCUACAUCUUGACUCCAGCAAUGGAUAAAUAAUUGCACUGGAAAAUUCAAUGAUUCAUCCAAGAAGUCCACAGCCAUCUUCAGAAUCAGACCAAAAUUUCCUGGUUCUCAGCUUGGAACUACUCCUUUCUUUUAGUCUUAUACCUGAAUCUGCUUUCAGAUUAAUAUAAUCUG